rnacentral:misc_RNA from 1 species
CAGUCGUUGCUCUACUUUGCUUGUGUUCGUGUUGACCCUAUUAGUCGUGUGCAGGCAAAAACCGUUUCAACAGCAACAACUGUAGAUGCAGUAAAUAUAGACCAGCAGCAGGACUGAAGGAGUAGGACUUGAUGUUUAUGACGUGUUGCGCGAAGCUACCGCUAGGUGCGCUGUACAAACGUCGCCGAGCGAAUGCGCUGGCCUGAGAUAGCUAGCAUCACACUUGAUUCUUCACAGGAAAACGAUGGCGGACAAUCGGGGAAGAGAGUUAUGUGUUGGGGGGAAACCUAUUUCAUCCCUACGCGUCGUUGAUUUGAAACAGGAACUAGAAAAAAGGAGCCUCCCGAAAUCAGGAAGCAAAAAGGAUUUGCUAGAGCGGCUCAGAUUGCACCUGCAAUUAGAGGAAGACCGCGAGGCUGCCUUAGCUGAUGAAGAGCAUGUUCCAAACCUUUCGCUAUGCAAUGAAACUGAAAAUGAUUUCAUUCGUGAAUACUUGGCUGCACAGCAGGCCAGGUUCCAAGUACAAAGAGAAGCCAAGAAACAAUAUGAAGAAAAGAAGCGUGAAUCAGAAGCUAGUGCUGAAGAAACAACUCAAGACGAGGAUGAAGCGUCUGAUGUAUCUCCAACCAAAAAAUCUCCCAGAAAAGCCAUGAGGCCAAAGAAAAACGAAGAGUCUACAUCUACGCCAAAAGCGCACAAAUCCGCACUGGAUUUUCAAACACCAGAGUCGAUGCCUUACUCCACUCCACCACAAGAAAAGCGAGAUGAAGACGGGGCGAGACACGAGAGUGAUACCACCGGUGAGGAGGAAGAAUCCAUGACUCCCCAGACCCGUAAACAUAAGCUACUCAAAUAUGUUCAGCAGCCUGCCUCUAGUAAGGGUCCUGGUAAGUCGGAUACCGGACAAUUUUCAAUUGCAGACCAUGUGGAUAGAUAUCAAGGGAGUGGGACAUCAGAAAGGCGGGAUCCACCGCCUUCCAGUCUCUAUGGUGAAGCCAUCAAUUUGAAGGUGGAAAAAGAGAAAGAGAUUUCACCUGUUAAGAAAGAACCCUCACCGGUAAAAAAAGAAAUCCCUUCACCGGUUAAGGUAGAAACUCCUUCCCCCGUAAAGAAAGACGGACGAGUAUUGCGAGGACAAAAGGCGCAUAGUGUGAAACCUCCACCCACCGAUGUGUCUGAGGAUGAGGAGGACGACGACGAAGAAGAAGAAGAAGGAGUCUUUCCCCGUCUUGUCGAGGUCUGGUCAGAGAAAGAAAGAGAGGAAGAAGCUGCAGCUUCGGCCUCGGCUGAAAAAUCUUUAGCACACAAAUCGGAAAAACCUAAAGAAAAUGUUGAACAUCCUUCGUUGAAUGUUAAACAGGAAGACCCUGAACCCCACAAGCCCGUUGUCACUGUAACCCUUGUUGAAAAGUGUAGCGAAGAAGAGUCGAAGGAUGUAGCGCCUUGCGCUACCGAUCCGCUAGCAGAUAAUCCAAGCAAGACAGAAACCAUUUCUGUCGAGGAUGAAGCAAAACCGGUUAAAAGCGAAUGCGCGGUAGAAGUACCACCAGUAGAAUUAGUUGUAGAAAAAGUUAAAAUCGAAGAAAAAAACGUAGAAAAGGUAGAGGAUGUUAAGGAGGAUGAAGCGUUAGAUAUGACCACGGAUAGCAAGGUAGAUGAAGCUUCUCAAAAAGCGGAUCUCGUAAUUUUAGAGGAAAAAGUAGAGACUGCAAAGUUAGAGGAACCGGUUGCGAACUCUUCAGCGAUUGAGGUACAUGAAAACGAUACUGUCGACGCUUCUGUAUCUGUUGUGGAAAUCGUACCGCCCGCUGAAAUCGAAGAACCGAUUGUAGAUCUCGUAACUGUAGAAAAGACAAAUGUCCCCUCUGAAACCCCCAAUAGAGAUAUUUCAAUCACGGAAUCGGAACCCGAGAAAAUGGAUCAGUGUGAAACUACACCAACCGAUCAAUCCGAGCCAGAGAAAACGGAUCUGUGUGAAAACAAACCAAUCAUGAAAUGCGAGCCUGAGUUGAAGGAUCAGCCCGAAACGAAAGAGCCUGAGUUGAAGGAUCAGCCCGAAACGAAAGAGCCUGAGUUGAAGGAUCAGCCCGAAACGAAAGAGCCUGAAUUGAAGGAUCAGCCCGAAACGAAAGAGCCUGAGUUGAAGGAUCAGCCCGAAACGAAAGAGUCUAAAGAAGAAGUUACUAAACCUACCGAUUCGCAAGAAGAUAGCGUCGAUUCACCCCCGGUUAAGGCUGUGACUGCAAUGGCUGUCGAAAACGAAACGCCACCGUUGAUCAAAUCAGAUGUGUGUGAGCAACCAGUUGUCAAAGUAGACCCAGUUCCUGAAGAACAACCCACUGAUGACAAUGAAGAAGAUGAACUUCAGAUGGACACCACUGAAACAAUUGAUGAAAGCCUGAAACUUACAGAAGCACCUGAAGCAGAAGAAGUUGCUGACAAUCGUGACCAGGGGCGUGAAAAAUCAAGUUCCAGAUCACCUAGCCCACGACAAAGCAGCCCAGAAGUUGAGAGAAACAGGAAUGGAAGGAGUGUAUCACCCCAUGACACCAAACAGAAGGUUGAAGUAGCACCUCAGUCUGAAGUAAUAAAAGGAGACACAGUGAGAAAAUGGAAAAUAAGGAAACAGUUGCCUAAUGUUGAGGCUGAAUCAGGAGAAACUGAAGCACCAAGAAAACGAAGAUGGGGAACUAGCCAGCUUCUGCCUACCAAGAAGCCUGCCUUAGUUAUUUCCACAGAUUCCCUUAAGUCUCUCGUACCGGAUGCUAAACCACUCUCAGCGGAAGAAGUUCGCCUCGGCAGUCCUAACUUUCAACCCUCAACAAAACCCACCGUUAAUCAGGCCCAAGAAAGUGAAGACCAUCAUUUACCAGCUGCUGAAAAAGUUGAAAAAAUGGAGGUUGUGAGACGUGUAGCAGUUGAAAUUGCGGCCGAAGCCUUCGCCCCUGCUAAACCAGAAGUUGUUCUAGCUGCUGCUGCCCCAUUAUUAGAAGCAACUAGUCCAGCCCAACAACCUCGAUCAUCCGUUCUUAAUGUUUCAAAUUUGGUUCGACCAUUUACUAUUAAUCAGCUUAAAGAAUUGCUUGCUCGUACUGGACACCUCAUCGAUGGAAAGUUUUGGAUUGAUAGAGUCAAGUCCUCUUGUUUGAUCCAGUACGAAACUGAGGAAGAAGCUGAAGAAACUCGGGCUGCCUUACACGGAAUUCAUUGGCCUACAUCUAAUCCCAAAACCCUCCUGGUUGAUUACUCAACUGUAGAAGAAUUAGAGAACCGCAUGUCUGGUAAAGAAACAACCAACCCACCUGUAGCCAAAAUUGAACCAACAAUGCGAGCGGCCGCCGCAGCCAUCCAGUCCAUUGAAGGGAAGCGAGACAAGGCUGAAAAAGUACGCGAAUGGGAUUUGGGAAAAACUGGUGAACAAGGAUCCGAGAAAUUAGAGCAAGCCCACAAAGGAGCACACCCCGCUGGGGAAGACGACGGAGAACUCAAACCAAAAGACGAAACGCCCGCCAAACUGUUGGACGAUUUGUUCCGAAAAACCAAAGCCGCUCCAUUCAUUUAUUGGUUGCCCCUGACUGCAAGUCAAAUUGCAGAGAAGGAAGAGAUGCGUCGCCAGAGGCUUGCUGAAAGAGAGACUCGUAUACGAGAAGUUCAGCAACGCAGGGACGAAGAGCUGCAACAGCGACAACGUGAAAGAGAGAAACAGCGUGAAAACGAGCGCGAAAGGCAGCGUGCUCGGGAACGAGAUCGUGAAAAGGAACGCGAAAAAGAUCGCCAACGCUCUCGCAAACGCAGCAGAUCUUCAUCUAGAAGCUCGUCGAGCACUACCUCAUCAAGUCCGAACAAGAGACGGAACAACAGUAAAACGCCCCCACGCAAGAGAUAAAGAUGACGAAUAUUUAACAAUCUUCAGUCACAACACUGAUUGGUUCGGAGAAGAUUGGGCUAGAAAGAAACCAAUCAGCUGCAAGAUGACUACAACUACUCUUGAAUUGGGAGACGAGUUCUCGAAUUCCGUUCAACUUGUGUGUGUUAACCCCUCAUUGUCACCGAGGAUCGGCGAUUGAUUGGGGAAAAGCAGAAGAUGUCACAAACAUAACAGAAAGAACCUAUGAUGUGAAGAUUUACUUUAGCUUGAUGUAUGGGGCUACUCGGAAAAAAUCCCUUGGUACGUUGUCACCAGACUGCUUUCUGGUUUCAACCAACGCAUACUGUCACUGACACAUUCAACCCAAAUGUUCUGUUACGGGUUGAAUUAUGCCUGUUUGUUCUCCUCCCUGUAAUUGUCUGACUCUCACACCUUAAGUUCCAAUGGACUAAUUUACAAAUUGUUUGAUUGGCUGGCGUACAAAUUCCAAUCGCUUGAAAAGGCAUCCUACACUGUAUUACGUAAAUACAAAGUAAUGAACUCCA